CUGUAUAAAAUACAUAUGCCACAUUGCGUGAAAUAUAUUAUUUAUUAACGCAUAUGACGGUUCCGUGAUGUGUUACGCGCUCGUCGUGUAUCUAUAUUGCGGUCCGUUUAAAUAUUGUCUAACGACACACGUUGAUUAUAAUUUAUAUAUAUCAUACGACAAUGUUAGAGAUUAUUAUUAUAAUAUUUGUCGAACGAUCGACGGUGUUACCGCUGAUGCGUCGCUCUGCGGCGUAAGGCGGGGACGCUUUCGACUCUUCGAGUUGCGAGUGUUAUGUAACAAUAUCACACAUACGAGAGGGUUGAUGGCGUGUGCAACACCGUUCACAUGUCGCGAGACACAUAAAUAAUUAUCAAUCUCUAUACAAACACAAUUGACGUAUACACAAAGAUAUAUAUAUGACUUGAAUCAUCGACAGUAGGCGGACUCGACGUCCGAAGAGCGCAUCGACGCCGUCGUCGUUAUCGAUCGUUAUUAUUGUAAAAAAUGUAACGUGUCGUAGCGGUUGCGUCGUCGUAACGCUGACGGAUAUCGCGUCUGCCUCAUUUUUUUAUCGUUGGCCUCAGAUCAGGGAGGAUCACCCGCCGAAUUUAAGCAUAUUAGUAAGCGGAGGAAAAGAAACUAACUAGGAUUUCCUUAGUAGCGGCGAGCGAACAGGAAAGAAGCCCAGCACUGAAUCCCGCCGUUGUUCAGGCGGCGGGAGAUGUGGUGUUCGGGAGGUUCCGCUUUCUCGUCGCGAUCGCUCCUGUCCAAGUUCGUCUUGAACGGGGCCGUUUUCCCGUAGAGGGUGCCAGGCCCGUAGCGACGGAGGAUCGCGGCGAGAGGGACUCUCCUUAGAGUCGGGUUGCUUGAGAGUGCAGCCCUAAGUGGGUGGUAA
rnacentral:sRNA from 1 species